GCUGACCACCUCCCUGCCUUCCUCAUCCCCUGGCCUCACCUCCACAAUGGAUGGGUCUUCAGGCUCCAGAAGGCAGGAAUGAAGACUAUGACAAGCAGGAGGAGAAGCAGCAGAUGCCUUUGCACUCCGUCAUCUCCCCUCCCCUCCCACAAAGCUGCACUGAUCCCCACAUUCCUCACCACAGCCCAGGGGUCUCCCCGGUUCCUGUACUGCAGCUCAUACUGAAGCUUGCCCUUCAGCAUGUAGAAGGCAGGGUCUUCGUAAUCUGAGCGCCAGGAGAUAUUAUACUGUCCUGAGAAGGUCACAGUCACGUUGAAAGGGGGAGCCGGCUUGACUUGGUGGAAAAACCCAGGAAAAGAAAAUGGGGUGAGAAUUUGCUGCAGGUGAAAAGGAUUUGGUGAUGGGAGGAAGUCCUGCCUGCCCCCACCCCUGCCUCCAUGCCUGACCCAUCAUGGAUGAGAUGAAGACCAACAACCCUGAGUGACUUUGGGCAAAGUACUCCCAACUCUGGGCUUCAGUUUAUUCAUCUGGGACCUGGGAGAUUUAGACCUGAUCAGGAUUGCAAACUCAGGGGCGGGCAGGUCACAGAGAGGAGUGAAGCAGGUUUAGGGACUGUGACGAAAUAAAACAGUCUGGCUGGGUGCAGUGGCUCAUGCCUGUAA
rnacentral:lncRNA from 1 species